rnacentral:rRNA from 3 species
UAAUGGCUCACCAAGGCGACGAUCCCUAGCUGGUCUGAGAGGAUGAUCAGCCACACUGGAACUGAGACACGGUCCAGACUCCUACGGGAGGCAGCAGUGGGGAAUAUUGCACAAUGGGCGCAAGCCUGAUGCAGCCAUGCCGCGUGUGUGAAGAAGGCCUUCGGGUUGUAAAGCACUUUCAGUCGUGAGGAAGGUGGUAUUGUUAAUAGCACUAUCAUUUGACGUUAGCGACAGAAGAAGCACCGGCUAACUCCGUGCCAGCAGCCGCGGUAAUACGGAGGGUGCGAGCGUUAAUCGGAAUUACUGGGCGUAAAGCGCAUGCAGGUGGUUUGUUAAGUCAGAUGUGAAAGCCCGGGGCUCAACCUCGGAAUAGCAUUUGAAACUGGCAGACUAGAGUACUGUAGAGGGGGGUAGAAUUUCAGGUGU